UUUUUUUUUUUUUUUUUUGUUGAAGGAACAGUGGUGCAGUAAACCAAGCCUGUUUAGUACUAAAAAUUUUCAGGGCAUUUUACUGUGUAACUUAGGUAAUUGUUUAAAUAGUCAAGUUAAAGAGAAAAUAAUUAGAAGGCUAAUUUGGAUUCAUCCUUCCCUGUUCCCACUUAAAGUUGUUGACUAUAGAGCUCUGUUACUGCUUCAUUUAGCUUGACUAUUGCAAUGAAGUAACUCCUUGCAUCUCAGGCUGUCCUUGUUCAGAGGGGAGGUAGGGGGUUUGUGUUGCAGGAUCAGAGCAUGUGGCACUUGUGGCAUUCCUGGUACCAUGGAAUUAGGGGCAAGUAGGCUGACAUUGGCUUACACAAGGGAACAGACUUGCUCUGCUUCGGUCCCAAGGUGUCAUUGAUUCUAUUUGCAGUACAUGGUCAAAUAUUUGUCCAUGGUAUCAGAGAGGUUAACAAAAGGUUGUUGUAGGGCCAUGUUUGUCACAUAUAGUGACAAUAGAAUAGUAUAAUGUUAACACGUUGUAGUGCAAAUGUCAUCAUUUUGUGAUGUGACAAAUUGUCCCCACUAACAGACUCUUAAAGAAUUCCUAACAGAUGUUGGAAAAAUGAGUAAGUUUAGAUUGAUUUUAUUUGUAUAAUAUUCAGGAACAAUCAGAUGUUUAGAAAGCAAAGCUUGCAGCAAUUUGUAUCACUUUUCAUUUUGGAAGUGUCCUUGCUAAUGUCACAAACUUUAGUCAUUAUAUAUAUGAUGCUGCCUUAGCAGGCAAAUUUAUUGAUGCAUCAUGCUUCAAGGCAGUUCCAGAGAUGACAAUUUUUCAGUAAUAAAUGUGUUUAAUUGGACUGUUCUCCAUUUGUAGCAGACUGGAUUUUCCUAUUUUAACCACAAAAUAGUAGGAGAAUUUGGACAGUUUCCAGUCUGUCAAAAUUUAAGUGCAAUAGGAAGUAAGAUAAUUUUGUUUGUAUUUGUUCUGUCCUUCAUUCAAACCUUGUUAGAGGCAACUGUGAAGCAUACUAAGCAGAGCUGCUUAUACUUUAUCUUCAAGACAAAUUCAGCUGGGAUGGCCUUGCUGUGUUAACACAACUAAACCCAACCACACUUAUAUUUGAUAUUGCAAUGUAUUCCUGGGCCCCUCCUGAGUAUACCUGACACAUACUGUGAGGAACUGGAGGAGAGGAUGUUCAAUAGUUUCCAGAAGACAUUUUAAAUAAAAUUAAGACAUGUAACUUGCACUGAAAUCAGGGCUUUAGAGAAUGCUGAUUGGGUUUCUUAAAUAUGAAGGAGAUAUUCUGGUGAGAAUGGAAGGCUGCAGCUUUUUCUGUAGAAAUAGUAGAUUUCCUGUUCUGUAGAAAUAGACUAGGUGGAAAAUUGGUUUGUCCAAGCAAAAAAUAAUUGAAUCAUACGUUUUCUCUUUAGAAGUGUUUCUGGAUUAUGUUAUGAAAUGUAGUCUUAGACAGGCCUAGUCAUUCUUCAGGGUGGUAGCAGCAUGCAAGGCUGAUUCUGUCAAACGUGGGUCAGAAAAGCAGCAUGUAACAGCACCAGCAGGCUGUAUCCUGGCUCCUCUAUCUGAAGAGUUUGUGCUCAUCCUAAGCUGGACUUCAGAUCUUGUAUGAAACUACCUUCCCUGCAUCCUGGUUCCAGCCAGGACAGGUUUUGCUUUGCAGUGUCCAGGAGGGGGCAUGGCUAGGACACAGAGGUUAUUCUAUACCACCUCUCGUCAUUGCUGGGGUGGGAGAAAAGGGAAUCCCUUCUGGGGAGAAGGGAUUCCUCUGGUCAAGAAACAUGGUGGAGGGAUCCAUCUGAUAUUGUCUAUUAUUGAGAGUUUUUCUGUGUGAAUAAUUUAUUUUCUUAAACCUUUUGUUAUUAAUAUUGUUGCUGUUAUUGUUAAUUUUCUAAUUUUUUUCCUCAUUUUUGCUAUUUCCAGCAAAUUGUUCUUACCUCAACGUGUGCCUGCAGUUGGAGGGGGGAGAGCAGUGGCAUGUGGUUUUAGAGGAGUACUAAAGUGGAGAAUACCAUUCCUAAACCACAACAGCCUUAUUUGGCAACAAAAAAGGACUGUCAUGGUGUCACCUCAGCUGGCAACCAGCCCACAUGCAGCCCUCACUCACUCACCCACCAGUGGGAUUGGGGGAGACCUGGAAGGGUAAAAGCUAGAAGACUGGUGGGUUGAAGAUGAAGACAGUUUGAUAGGGAAAGCAAGAGCCACACACACAAAGAAAAAACCCCAAAAAAUGAAUACCCUGCUUCCCUUGUGCAGCAGCUGUUCAGCCAACUCCAGGACAGCAGAACCUACCAUGGUAACAGUGACUUGUGAAGACAAAUGCCACCACUCCAAAUGUCUCACCCCUUCAUCCUUCACCUCACUUUACAUACUGAGCAUGAUGUCAUGCCUGGAAUAUCCCAUUUGUGAGUUUGGGUCACCUUUCCUGAAAGUGUCUCCUCCCGGUCUCCCAUUCACCUCCAACUUCCCUACCAGAGUGGAGUGUGAAAAAGCAGAGAAGACCUUGGCUCUGUGUAAGCCCUGCUCAGCAAUAACAAAACAUCUCUAUAUUGUGUUCAGCUCAAGUCCAAAACACAGCCCCAUACCAGCCACUGUGAAGAAAAUUACCCCAGCCAAAGCCAGCACAUACUAGAUUAUGAAAGAUGUGUUGAGAUUUGUGCUUUCCAAGAUGGUAUGUUCUCAACUUUCUUUUCACACAGGAACAUGUUUUAUGUUAAACACUUACUCUGCCUAUAUAGUUUGUAGAUUUAAAGUUUGAGCUGCUCUUCUUUGAAAACACAGAUUUAUAUAAGUAAAACAUAGCAUAUUCUCUAAGUGAGGAUAGGAUGGGCAAUUCUUGGACAACUCCUCCCAGGAGCUGGGGAAGCCUGUCCACGCCUGUUGGCUUUAACUGUGACACUACUGUCAAGAGAACUGAGCUCCUAUGAACUUUCCUUGCUGUACUUGGCCAAUACUGAGCUAAUUCUCUGUGAUUACACCCGGCUGUAACUUCCUGUUGAAGGAAGAGAAACUGAAUAAAGAAAAAACAUGGUGUUUGAUGGAUAUGAAAAGUGUUGAACAAACCUUAAACAGCUUUCUAAUCAAGAUAUUUGGAUGUUGGACUCUUUUUUCAAACUGUUUGGUCCAGAGCUGAGGUACAGCUCCUCAGUAAGGUCCUAAAGUAGGAAAUUUUUGCUCAGAUUGCCAACAGUGCAAGCCUCUGUUUCUGUAGUUUCUGUCUCAAAAACAGACUUGAGGGGAGUUGUGAUUUCUCUAUGCAGAACUGCCUGGUUGCACCUUGAUGUGUUCCUGCAGAAAUGGCAAACAUAGUGGGCCCAGUUGUUUUUGAUCUCUUGGGCUUCAGGAGAGCUGCUUUUGGUUUGCAGGGCUGCCAGAGCCUUUCUGUUCAACCUUGAGCAGGUAACUUGAAUCUUUCCACAUCCAAAUGUCAAAUAUGGAAGUCUUGUUCUGCCUUUUGGUUAUAAGGGCAAAACAUCAAAGAUCAUUAAGUUGUUGGAUACUUUGGAAAUUUAUCAUGUUACCAUAGGUAAACAGAAGGGAAAGAGUGACAAAUCUACACAGGGAAGUUAUUUUUCUGAUGUUAGUCUGAUAUAAGGGAAUCUCAUUUUACAGUCCCCUAUCCUGAGCUUUUAUGUAGCUUUACAUCCUCCAUGGUAUUGCUUUUUGAAUGCUGUAUUGUACAAACAGUAGAGCAUUGUGAAUGGUUUUUCAUUUUCAUGUAUUUUUAAUGUCUUAUACUUGCAUUAGUGAAAAAUCCUUCUUAUUAAGCCACUUUUAAUUUUGA
ensembl:lncRNA